AGUAAGCUUCAAAACACUGGAUCUGGGCAGAUAUCGACCCUCUAAGAGUUGGGGAAGAGCUACAAGGUCACUGAGGUAAUGCAAAAGUUCCUGCCCUCAGCAAUGACUGGGAAUGGAGAAUGGCUAGAAGAUGGAGUGUCUUGAAAGGUUUAUGCCCUUAGAGGACAAUACAAGGUUCCUAUUAAUGAAACACUGAUGAUGAUGAUGAUGAUGAUGAUGAUGAUGAUGAUGAUGAUGACUAUGAUGAUGAUGACGAUGACAAUGACGAUAAUGGUGAGGACAAUGACAAUGACAGUGAUGAUGAUGGGAAGAUGAUGACGACGACAAAACAAUACCACCACAUGAGUAAUUACAGAUUUUAGAAGUUCACAUUUAUUGUAUAAUUUUACCCUUACAACAAUUCAAUGAGGUAGAUAUUAUUUCCACUUUACAUGAAGAGACUGAGAAUUUGAGAGCAAACAUGUGCUAUUGAAAUGCACAUUCACUAUAGUAAAUGUUAUCCCAAAGCAUACAUCCUGACUCCAAAGUAAUUUUGUAUACAAUAUAAAGCUUACAAUGG
ensembl:processed_transcript predicted gene, 20319